AUGUGUGCCAGGCACUUUAUAAAAAUUAAAUCACUUAAUUCUCUACAAAAAAAACCCCCAAAAUCUUUAUAUUUUUAUUACUCUUCCCAUUUUACAGAUAAGAAAACUGAGGAAGAGAGAUGUGAAGGUAUCACAAGCAGGCUUCUAGAACACUGGCCAGUUGAUAAUGCUUCUGACCACAUACGUCCCUGUCACCACGCUCUGUUGUUUGGCCAACGAUCUCAGCAAGUGUUUCUGAGACUUUGAACUAGAAUGACAGUUGUGCCAAGAUCUCUUGCUCUUCCAGGACCCUGAGAGAGAGUCCUUUUAUCAGUACCGGAAAGAUUCUCUGCCUUUGGUAUGAGUAUUGCUACCUGAGUUCUAGUUCUUGACUAAUACAAGUCAAAAAGCAAAACCAAAAAGAUUACCCUCAAUCUCUUCCACUUCUCCUUUGCAUACCUCUCCUGAGGCCUUUCAUAUCCUCCUGACGGACUCACCAUCUAGUCCUACCAUUCAUAAAUAACAGAGAACCCAAAGGGAAUCCUUGAGGGAUGGUAUAUAACCUCAUGGAUAGCCAAAAAGACAUUGUCAUACUUGCAAUUAUAGUUCUGUAGCAUCACAUUUGGAGUUUUGGACACAGGAAUGAAGAGAAGUGAGUAUCUAAAGCAUCCUAUAGAAAAGAAAAAUAAUUAACAACAAAUUGAUGAUAUCAGGAAUCAUAGAUAAUUAUCAGUUUUAUUUUUUAAGGCAUAAGUGAAAAGGUGAUAGGAGUAGCUGUGAUACUGACAUUGGAUAUUCCUAUAUUGCACACAGAGAAAGUGAGCAUCGCUUCUUUGCCAUAUUUUAAAUCCCAUUGGCAAAAUUGUUGGUAGAUUGGGGUGUAAAUAGAGAAUUUGAGUACAAACAUAUUUCUUACUGUUAAUUAUACAUAUCAUUUACUGAAAAUUCCAUUACCUGAAGGCACAAUCAAAUAUGAAAAGUAAAGACUUUGACCUGACCCGAUAAUGACAAACAGAAUGGAUGAGGUGUUCCAAAAUGAAACAACAGAAAAUGAGAGUGAUUAGGAAAUAAAUCAAUCCUAAAUAUGUUUAUCA
rnacentral:lncRNA from 12 species